rnacentral:lncRNA from 1 species
ACCUUUUCCCCCCACUUUUUUGCCAAAAUGUACCAGGUAGAAGGAAUGUGGCUUUUACUCUCUGCUUCAAAUGGAAUAUGAAGAGGCCUGACCCAAAACCCCAUUAAGACACUGUUAGCCUAAUCUAAGCCUUAAAAUUCAAAAUAUUGGCCAAGGCAAAAUUCUGUAUUCUGGGGAGAUUAAAAAUGUAAACAUCAUCAACAGACAAUAUUUGGCAAGAUCUUAGUAAUAUUUGGGCACUUAAGAACUCUGGAAUUCUUGAAGAAUCUAAUGAAAAGGGGGAGAAGGAUGGUAGCAAAUGAAAUGGCCUAUAAGCAACUAGUAGCAAGAUUUAGACCCGUUAAGUUACCAAAUGAAAGCACAAGGGGGAAACAAGUAGCAACUUAGCAUCUUCUAAUAUGAUUGCUGAUAGUGUGCAAGUUACCCACUGACUUUAAUCAAAUUAAACACAAUUACAAAUCCAGAAGGUACUAGGAAGACAUUCAGGUUUUGAGAAUUUUGCUUUGAUCAAUUGACACAAUUAGAGGACUGAUUAGAGUCAUGUUCUAACAUGUCCUAUCUGAUGACAAUGUGAAUCUUGGGGUUAAGUGUUGCCAGGAGUGUGAUCUUAGAUGUCUCCAGCAGGAAGAUGAGUUCAAAAUGUGGAAUGACAAAGACUGUGUCCUCCUUU